ensembl:miRNA gmo-mir-182 gmo-mir-182
UUUGGCAAUGGUAGAACUCACACUGGUGAGCUAGAAGGAUCCGGUGGUUCUAGACUUGCCAACUA